CCAUCACCCCCAUUAGGCAUUUAAUACUGGCUCUCACUGAUGGUCUUUCCUGUAACUGAUUCAUUUCCACCCACAGACACAAAGUUAGGAAACCUCCAUUUCCAUCCUCUGAAGUGCCCCCACUGCCUUCCCUCCCCUUGCAGGAGCCUAGCCUUUGAUCUUAGAAGAAGACCCCUACCGAUGCCCCAGUCCUCUCCUAAGAAUAAACUUUCUUUCUGGAGUGUUUCCUUUGGGGAGAAUUCUGGACCAACCCCCUCCAUCUGAGAUGCUCCACUAGCUGGUUGUUUUGCCCAUUAGUUGACACAGUUUCUUCAUUGUGUCAAUGGUCUUUACCAUUUGGUAUUCAAUUA